GGAGAUACAAGAACGAAAGUACAAAACACAAAAGAGCCGAGCCCAGGAACAGAGGACGAUAGGGAAAAAAUAGGAACAAGGGAUUCAACAACAAAGAAAAGGAGACAAGAAGCAGAGACCGCAGUAACGGAGAGGGGAAAAAAAGCGAAAAAGACAGCAAAAACAAGGAGACCAAGAAGAAAAACGCAAGCCCCACAAGCGAAGCGAGAGAGCAAAGCAAGAAGCCACCCCCGAAGAAGGUGAAGAAGCGGAAAAGCCCCUCCUACCUGGAGAAAGGUGGGGAUGACGUCAAGUCAUCAUGGCCCUUACGAGUAGGGCUACACACGUGCUACAAUGGCGCAUACAAAGAGAAGCGACCUCGCGAGAGCAAGCGGACCUCAUAAAGUGCGUCGUAGUCCGGAUUGGAGUCUGCAACUCGACUCCAUGAAGUCGGAAUCGCUAGUAAUCGUGGAUCAGAAGUCCACGGUGAAUACGUUCCCGGGCCUUGUACACACCGCCCGUCACACCAUGGGAGUGGGUUCAAAAGAAGUAGGUAGCUUAACCUGCGGGAGGGCGCUUACCACUUUGGAUUCAUGACUGGGAACUCACUKAYAGUVSHYAAAGNA
rnacentral:rRNA from 1 species